UUCGACAUAGCCACGAAGACAAAUAAGUUGUAGCCGUACUGAGCAGAUGUAGUUAUUGUAAAGUAUGGAUAAAUGUCGACCAUGUCAACUAGAUUAUGACAUAUUUAUUAUUUGGGUCCAAGAAAUAUCCUAGACUUUAGAUAUCAAAACUCUAGUAGAGUAUAACACACAUUGAAGAGCUAGCUCCAAUAUAGAUAUAGAAAUAUUGUAACGUAGAUACUGAUAAAAUAAAGAACACUAGAAAAUAUUUUCUGACAUAAUAUCUUUAAUUAAAAACCUUAUCAUUUCGACAUAGCCACGAAGACAGAUAAGUUGUAGUCGCACCGAACAGAAGUAGUUAUAGUAAAGUAUGGAUAGAUGUCGACCAUGUCAACAAGAUUAUGACAUUUAUUAUUUGGGUCGAAGAAAUAUCCUAGACUUUAGAUAUCAAAAUUCUAGUAGAGUAUAACACACAUUGAAGAGCUAGCUCCAAGCCUCCAAUAUAGAUAUAGAAAUAUACGCACGUAGAUACUGAGAAAAUAAAUAACACUAGAAAAUAUUGACAUAUUUAUUAUUUCGGUCUAAGCUAUUUAAGAGAUGACCGUGACUCAAGGUAUCAAUACAUUAAUUCCAGACAAUGGGUUCCUCUAUAAAUGUACCUAAACACACUGAAAUAGAUUAGGCAACAAGCAAUACAUCGAUCAUCACGUCUUCUCUGCCUUGCCAAAACUAAAGGAAACAACAGCAGCAUGGCAAGGAUUGUGCACUACUUGAUGGCUACUUCGUUGGUGGUUCUUGUGAUGAGUACUUCCAACUCUAUACACUGUCAAGCCGGCUUGUCUUCGCGUGGGCCACCUUGCUUCGAGCCUCCGACUCACCGCUGUAAGGACGGCCGCAGCUGCGUGUUUGUUUGCCAGUAUAACGGAAUCAGAACCUAUAGGGCAUUCUGUAAAACACCUACAAAUGCUCAGGAGACCUAUAUGUGCUGCUGCCCACCAUAGAUUUGAAUGGUGUAAUUAACAAUUAAUGCAUCCAGCAUGUACUGGUGCAAAUUAAUAAAUGAAAUCUGCAAAUCCAUCAUUUGUUAGCAAUCUUC